CCUACGGGGGGCAGCAGUGAGGAAUAUUGGUCAAUGGGCGGGAGCCUGAACCAGCCAAGCCGCGUGAGGGAAGAAGGUACAGCGUAUCGUAAACCUCUUUUGUCAGGGAACAAAGGCGGGGACUAGUCCCCGGAUGAGGGUACCUGAAGAAAAAGCAUCGGCUAACUCCGUGCCAGCAGCCGCGGUAAUACGGAGGAUGCGAGCGUUAUCCGGAUUUAUUGGGGUGAAAGGGGGCGCAGGCGGCCUGUUAAGUCAGCGGGAAAAGCCCGGGGCGCAACCCCGGCGAGCCGUUGAAACUGGCGGGCGGGAGUUGGAGAGAAGUACGCGGAAUGCGCGGUGUAGCGGUGAAAUGCUUAGAUAUCGCGCAGAACCCCGAUUGCGAAGGCAGCGUACCGGCUCCACACUGACGCUGAGGCACGAAAGCGUGGGUAUCGAACAGGAUUAGAUACCCGAGUAGUC
rnacentral:rRNA from 1 species